rnacentral:lncRNA from 1 species
UAGGUUACUUCCAUUCCUGUUUAGAGCACCACUACAGCCCAUAAAUUGGGUGGAUUCCAAGGGUGCCCAUGAACUCACGUGGCCUCUGUCCACCAGCGUAAAGGGUGAGGAGACUCUUUUUGACAGUUACCUCUCCACUUUCAGUCCCACUGUGCAAGAAGAGUCCCAUGCUCUUCUGGUUUUCAUGGGGCACCAGGAGGAAGAAGGACCUGUCAAAAUUUUCUCCCCUCCCCACCCUCCAUUAGGGGGGUACCAAGAACUCUGCUUAGGAUCUUAGGAUCCAACUCAUUGUGUUUCUGCAGCACUUGCUCCAAGAUUGACUAUAUUUUAGUUUGCCAUCUACCCCCACAUUGUCUUUAUACUAGAGACAGACUAGAACGACUAUCCACGAGCUAUUGUUUACCUCUUUUGAAUUUCUUUCCUUGAAUUGCUAGGGUCAAGCAACCAAAGAUUAAAUAUAAUGGGUGUGAUCCAGAAAGGAGCAUAGUUUUAAUGUUUCAUGUUGUAUUAUGUUUUUAUAUGUGUUGGAAGCUGCCCAGAGUGGCUGGGACAACCCAGCCAGAUGGGUGGGGUAUGAAUUAUUAUUAUUAUUAUUAGUAGUAGUAGUAGUAGUACUCAUUUGUAUAGCAGCUGCUUGGCAUGCAAAGGUCCCAGGAUCAAUUAUUGGCAUCUCCAGUUAGGGCUGGGGAUGUCCCCUAUCUCUAGAGUUGGUCUGAGUUUAUAUUAUAUUUCUAAAGCUCUAGUCACUGUGCAUAUUUGAGUUCCAUGGGCAAAGGGUUAUACCUUCCUGCUUAUACUGUACUCAACCCACUGUAGAGUUCCCACUGAAUCCAUGGAGAACUCCCGUCUUAAAAACAGGGCAGUUCCCCUAUACGCACAACUUCCUGUGGGCACUGGAGACCCUGCAUGUGCACCAAAGCUGCUAACUCACAGUCACAAGCAGGUAGAGAAGACCCAAAAGUUCUUUAAGUGACUUGGAAACUUACCUGGAAAAAGACAUUGGUUUGCAUAGUGACAAGUUUCUAACUGCCGUGUCGCAGUGCCUGGACCAGGUAACUAGCUGCUUUUUCUGGGUAGGAGGCCUAGAAUCGCAACAUUUGAGGAGGGGUGGGGUAUAAAUUCCGUGCAUCUGCUCUCAUUCUAUGUGAACAGGUUUUCUUUGCUGGCAGAGGUACCUUUGUAAAUGAAAGAGCUACUGAGACAGAAAGAAAAGAUGCUGGUUUAUCCUGGCAGAUUUGUCUCUUGCCGUGUCAUUGGAUUGCUCUCCUGGUGUUGAAGCGGGGAAGAAGGGAGAGAAGGAGAAAAGUGUACAGACGUCAACCCUACAGGCUGUGGGGCAGAGAGGUGGGCAGGGAAAACAGCUACAUGUCUCCUUUCUUCAGCAGUAUGUUUCCAGUUCAGUUCCUGCAUUAAGAAGACAUUAAUAGUCCCUGAUGACGGUUUCACGCUCUGUUUGUAUUCUUUCUAACAAGUUCCUUUCAUGUUUUUCUUUUUUUGUGGGAAUAUUUUCUCGGGGGGGGGGGGAGUGCCAUCUGCAGACGAGCUGCUAAAUUGCUGCCAAAGAAAUGCAACAUGAAAACCUCUCUCUGGGAUCAACGCCAGUGUCCUUUUGCCACAUGCGCUGGUCUCUCGAGAGCCCAAGGGCACCCAAAGAGGAGAGAGAGAAAUGCCUUUUAUAUCAAGACAUUAGUGGAAAUGAUGAACUGCUCGUGGUCAGUGACGAUCCAGCAUGGAACGAGGCCAUCCAGUGGGAGAUUUAGAGCAGAAAAAAAGAAAACACGUCUUCACAUGUGGCACAUAGUUAGACUGUGGAUUUUGCUCCCACAAGAGGCCGCAAUGGCCAGCAGCUUGGAUGGCUUUAAAAGGGGAUUAGACUAAUUCAUAGAGGAUAAGAUUACUGACUAGAAUGACUAUGUUCUCUCUCCGCUGUUGGAGGCAAUAUGCCUUUGAUUACCAGUUGCUGGGAAUCCCCAAUGGGGAGAGUGCUGUUGCCCUCAAGUCCUGUUGCUUGUGGGGUUCCCAAUGGGAUAGGCUUCCAAUUGGCCACUGCAAGAAGAGGAUAGUGGACUAGAUGGGCCUUUGAGUAUGAUUCAGCCCAUCUCUUCUGAUGUUCCUAUGUAGGCUGGAAGUGGACACCACUACAGAAGUGCUUGCACUUGUUUUGAUGUUACAUUGGCAGGAGAAAAAAGUGUGACUACAGUGUUAGAAGUAGAUCAAGGAGUCCUGGGUUCAAAUCUGCACUCUUCUACAAAGCUUGCAAAGUGACUGGCCCAACAUCAUUAUCUCAUAGCGUGGCUUACUUUACAUAGUUAUUAUAAGGAUAAACGUGUGUGUGGAACAGUGAGUUCCUUUGAGAAAGAGUCUGCCUUGACAUCCAAGAAAUUUAGACAGCCUUAUCAAGACUCCUUCGGCUUUCCUUGAAUUCUUUUGAGGUUUGGCGUAAUAGGAAUCUGGAGGUGGACAUUUAAUUUUGCUGCCAGGAAAAUCAGUGGCAGCUGAGGACAACAUUUCUUUUUCCUUCUCUAGAAAAUGUUUAGGUGCUUUGAAUGAGGAGGAGCCUCCAAGUUCACUUUGAAUUGGCAAAUGAAGCCAGAGACAACCCAGAGUUGUGUGGAGCCUUCUGAUAAGUACAUUGGAAUCCUUCAAGUGUUUUGCCCUGACGUAUCUUACAGAUCUUGCCAACAAAGGUCCAUAUAGUUAUAGCCAUGGUUUUCCCAGUAGUGAUGUAUGGAAGUGAGAGCUGGACCAUAAAGAAGGCUGAUCGCCAAAGAAUUGAUGCUUUUGAAUUAUGGUGCUGGAGGAGACUCUUGAGAGUCCCAUGGACUGAAAGAAGAUCAAACCGAUCCAUUCUUAAGGAAAUCAGCCCUGAGUGCUCACUGGAAGGACAGAUCCUGAAGCUGAGGCUCCAAUACUUUGGCCACCUCAUGAGAAGAGAAGACUCCCUGGAAAAGACCCUGAUGUUAGGAAAAAUGGAGGGCACAAGAAGAAGGGGACGAUAGAGGACGAGAUGGUUGGGCAGUGUUCUCGAAGCUACAAACAUGAGUCUGACCAAACUGCGGGAGGCAGUGGAAGAAAGGAGUGCCUGGCGUGCUCUGGUCCAUGGGGUCACGACCAAACGACUAAACAACAACAACAUCUUACAGAUCCAUACCAAAGGGCUUUAUCUCAGCAGUAGAGCAGAUGUUUUGCAUGCAGAAGGUCCCGCAUUCAAUCCCUGGUAUAUCCGGGUAGGGCUAGGAAUGUCCUGUCUGAAACCCCAGAGAGCCACUGCCAGAAAGCAUAGAGACUAUACUGUAAACAAUACUGAGCUAGGUGGACCAGUGGUUUGACUUGGUGUAAGACAGUUCACUUGCAGUAGUCAACAACUUUGGCUCUCUCCCCCCCCCCCAAAGUUCAACCACUCUGGUCAAUCCAAUGGGGAGAUCACUGCCAGUUUAUUUAUAGUGGGAGUAGAUUGCUGUCUCUUGGAUUUUCAGACGCCCAAGACUUAAAGUUGAGAAAUUGUGCACACAGGUUUAUGGAGCAACUUGAUGUCGGAGUCUGUCUCAUCUGUCGGUAGCUGUGAUUUCUUCAAGUGUGGGAUUUUGCCCUGCUGUUCAUGCCUGCCUGGAGAGCUGGUGCAUCCUAAUGACUGCAAAUGCGAACUGUGAAUUAGAAAGCUCCCAGUUCAUAGCUCACCCGUGAGGAUGGUGAUUCAGACGCCUCAAGGAAGGAACCAGAAUCCCCAUCACUAGCAAUGCACCAAAUCCACUUACUCUUCUGAAGGCUGCCAGCAGAGAAAAUAAAAUGCACUCAGAGGCAGCCCAGUGAAUCCAGAAUGUAUCUGCUAUCUGUCAGCUGAGACUUAGGGCGUUGGUAGGUCUGCUUCACUUUUGGGACUCAGGGUUUAUCCACACUUAUCUUUCCUCUGCUCUUUCCAGACACAGUCUGUGAUUUAAAGCUUUGUGUCCGAGCACCUUCCCCCACCCCCCAGAGCUUUCCCUACAAAACCUGCUCUUUAAAGCACAACCGGAACAAACUGCAAUCCAUGGAAAACCCAAACUGAUGCUUGCUCUGAGCUCUAAACAGGGGGUUUUCGCAGGGGAAGUUCUGGGGCAAAAAGCAAGAACACUCACACACAGAGCUUUUAAGUGCAGACUUGUGCCUGGAAAGAAUGGGGCAAAGGGUAAGUGUGGAUAAGCCAUCAGUUAUGUGCAGAUGACUUGUCAAUGCAAGGUGUGCUUGCUGUGAACUUUCCGUGGUUCUGAAGAACCUGGUCCUGCUCUGUUAUCCAGAUUUUGCCCCUUGCAACCUGCUAGCCUGACACAACACAUGGUACAUAUCUGUUAACUGGAACCAGGCAAGCUGAUGACUAAUCAAACCUUGCUUCAUGAGCAGGGAGGUCUCUGACUGGCUUGUGCAGGACAGUUUUAUGGGCAGCUGCUUCUGCUUCUGUUGUAGCAUAACAUUCAGUGCCCAGUUACAAUGCAUUUUGCAGCCCAGCUGGAGAUUUUAAAAUGUUUAGAUAAAAAUGGGAGGGGGGCGGGAAUAGCCAUUCUUAUUUGAGAGGUUAUUAGGGCUUGGUUAAGUAGCAGCUGGUGUCGUGGAGCAGAGCCACAGAGCUCAUCUUCCAUCAAUAGGGUUGUUGUAGCUUACCAGAAUAGGGCUGGGGAGGUUGACGCUGUACCAGAGCCCAUCCAGUGCUCCCACUUUUGCAUCUGUGCAGCCCUGACCUCACUGCCACGCCACCUCCAUCUCAAUCUAGGUGAGCUGUAGAGUCGCCAGUGACAGGAGGGCAGCUCCACAGUUCUGCUCUACCACACCUUCUGCUGCUGGUUAAUUCCCAAAGAGGAUCACACUAGUUCUGGAUUCAACCCCCCUUCACUGUCCAGAUGCAGUAAUUCAGGUCCAUCCCUCAAGGGCUCCUUGGCCUUUGUCUUGGCUGGCACCACUGUAAUUUUUGAGCCACCGGCACUGCAAGCUAAUCCCAGGAAUGCGUGUUCAUAUAUGAAAAUGUAUGUCAUAUGAAGAAUGGUCACAGUGGCUCCUAAUGCACAGUAUCAUGCUAAAGUGUGUCCAUCCCUCCAGGGCAAAUAGACAGGGAGGAAGACAGAUAAGCCUUUGAAAGAUCUGUUUCAAGAGGCCAGUUUCACAGAAUAGGCACACAGUGACUUUUGUGUACAGAGGGGGAAAUAAGGGAAAAUAAAAAGGUUCUUUGCUUUAUUGUUCAUCAAAAAGGACAAGGGGCAGAUGCCAGGAACAGAUUUUUCUAGGGCAUGAUUGAGUUAGUGAAGGAAAUUAGGGUCAGGCUGGAACAGCUGAUCACAACAGCCAAAUGUUUGAAGGCUGCAGGGGGUGGAGGAGAAACCUAGAUAGCUGAACAAUGUAG